UACGUAGGGUGCAAGCGUUGUCCGGAAUUAUUGGGCGUAAAGGGCUCGUAGGCGGUUUGUCGCGUCGGGAGUGAAAUCCACUGGCUUAACUGGUGGCUUGCUUUCGAUACGGGCAGACUGGAGGUAUGCAGGGGAGAACGGAAUUCCUGGUGUAGCGGUGAAAUGCGCAGAUAUCAGGAGGAACACCGGUGGCGAAGGCGGUUCUCUGGGCAUGUCUUGACGCUGAGGAGCGAAAGUGUGGGGAGCGAACAGG
rnacentral:rRNA from 1 species